AAUGAACUUCACCAGCCCGCCAGAUUAUUACAAGCGAAAGCCUAAAACUCAAAGGACUUGACGGUGUCCCACAUUCAACCUAGAGGAGCCUGUCCUAUAAUCGAUGAUCCACGAUUUACCUCACCACUUUUUGCCAAACAGCCUAUAUACCGCCGUCACAAGUUCACCUUUUGAAAGAAAAAAAAGUGAACAAAAUAGCCCAGNGCUAGUAUGUCAGGUCAAGGUGUAGCUAAUAAACUGGUUUGAGAUGGGCUACAUUUCCUUUAUAAAGGAAACACGAACGGUCUUAUGAAAACCCACCAGAAGGAGGAUUUAGUAGUAAAGUAGGAUUAGCAAGCCUGCUUGAAUAUACUGCCCUGGGACGCGUACACACCGCCC
rnacentral:rRNA from 1 species